rnacentral:rRNA from 1 species
UACGAAGGGGGCUAGCGUUGUUCGGAAUUACUGGGCGUAAAGGGCGCGUAGGCGGUGUGUCAAGUCAGGCGUGAAAGCCCCGGGCUCAACCUGGGAAUCGCGCUUGAGACUGGCACGCUCGAGUUCGGGAGAGGAUGGUGGAAUUCCCAGUGUAGAGGUGAAAUUCGUAGAUAUUGGGAAGAACACCGAUGGCGAAGGCAGCCAUCUGGACCGACACUGACGCUGAGGCGCGAAAGCGUGGGGAGCAAACAGG